UGUAUUUUUGAAGUGUUUUAUCUUAAAAAUAUGAUAGAGUUAUUCAAAAGUCCGUAACUGCUAAAGUAUUAACUUGCAGUAAAUAUUAGUGGGCAGUUAACUUGGUAGAAACAUCGUGCUUUUAUAAUUUUGUAAAAUAACGAGUCUGUAAAUUCAGUUUUUUGAAAUAUUUUUGGAAGAAUAACGAACGCUGCGUUCGUCAAUGGCGGCGAUCCGACGGUGUGCGUUCAUCCGCUGCUUCUAUGAAAAUCGCCGUAAAACACCCACUGAAAAAUGCGAUUAAACAGCAUUGAUCGAUACAGUAUUGCUUAAAGUAUUAAUCAUUGUCAAAUUUUAAAAUCUGUACAACUCAAACUAUUUGAAACAUCAUAAAAUAACCAAAAUUCAGCUCGUCUGAAUCGAAUUAAAAUAAAAGGAAAUACAAAUACAUUUUUUUAGCAAAAACCGACGAAUAGUUAAUUAAACACAAAAUUCAUAAUAUUUGCACCAGAAGCUACAAACAAAAUGAAGACAAAUUUGACAUUCAUUUAUUUUCGAUUGUUCCGAAAACAGCAGCAUUCGAACAUAUUUUCAUAGCGAAUGAUGUAUCCGCGAUUAACAAUAAUCCCGUAACGAAUGCACGCAUUGCGGAAACACAAAUCGUUUACAAGUUACGGAACCGGAAUAUACACCCUUUGUUCGCCUACAUCGACAAUUUAGAUCUGAUGAUUAACGAAUCAUCGAUGGAUUUCGAUCGAAAAUCUCGAAACACGUACUCAAUAGUGUUCCACGAAAUACUGAUACGAAAGUGACGCACGAUUCGUAAAAUACGACGUCCAGAUAAUUUUACGAACGUUCGAGGGAAAGCUAAAAAAAGAAGCAGCUCGUCGUGUUCGAACUACGAAAUAUCGAAAACCCGUUUCGAAUCGAGACAAAUUGUCUCGUUAGGCGACGUGUCGCCUUUGAUCGAAGAUAAUCACCGUAAAAAUCAAAAGUAAUAACGGAUUUAAGGGUAAUCAAGAAAAGAAGAGCGAAGGGGUGGCCGAGAGGGGGUGAGAGUAGUAUAAUUCAGAGUCGACAAGUCGUUGUUAUCAAUAACAUUUUUGCAGAGGCCGUAAUAUCCCGGGAAAGUAAUUAGAGUAAAUUCAGGGGUUGCCGAGCGACCCUUCCAGCCGCACAAAAUGGCGGCGGGAACCGCCCUUGCGAAAAAAAUUAGGCCUCCUUCCGCUGCGCGGUAAAAUUUACAUGAAAAAAAGGAACGCCCAGCGGCUUUCGGGAAACGAAGCUUCGACAAUGCGACUCAUUCUUUUUUUUUUACGUGUGUGUGUGUUUUUUUUUCGCUUUUUAUGGGUAAAUCGAAGGGAGUCCCCGUAGCGGGGUUGCCUGCCAGGGAAAUACCUGUAAUUUAUGUGUAGGAAAUGGAAAAAAUAUGGUAAAAGGUCACGUUCGCUGGUAGACUUUAAAAACGAUUAGAAUCUUAAUAUCCGUCGUAAAAUACGGACCCGGGCAUUAUCAAACGAAUGAACGUGCAAAUAAACGAAACAGGAUAAUUCAUUAACCCUCUAUGUACCUGUGAAUCGUAAAGUUUCAAAUUUCUUUUCUAUCUUUACUCUUGUGACCCAGAAGGAACAUUUUAAAAAUUUUCUUGUGAAAAUAAUCUUUAACUAAUUUCUUUGCAAUGUUAUUAUUGAAAUUCUAUAUUAACGGUUGUGUU
rnacentral:lncRNA from 1 species